rnacentral:rRNA from 1 species
GAUGAACGCUGGCGGCGUGCUUAACACAUGCAAGUCGAGCGAAGCGAUUUUAAGGAAGCCUUCGGGUGGAAUUAAGAUUGACUUAGCGGCGGACGGGUGAGUAACGCGUGGGUAACCUGCCUCAUACAGGGGGAUAACAGUUAGAAAUGACUGCUAAUACCGCAUAAGCGCACAGUGUUGCAUAGCACAGUGUGAAAAACUCCGGUGGUAUGAGAUGGACCCGCGUCUGAUUAGGUAGUUGGUGGGGUAACGGCCCACCAAGCCGACGAUCAGUAGCCGACCUGAGAGGGUGACCGGCCACAUUGGGACUGAGACACGGCCCAAACUCCUACGGGAGGCAGCAGUGGGGAAUAUUGGACAAUGGGGGAAACCCUGAUCCAGCGACGCCGCGUGACUGAAGAAGUAUUUCGAUAUGUAAAGGUCUAUCAGCAGGGAAGAAAAUGACGGUACCUGACUAAGAAGCCCCGGCUAAUUACGUGCCAGCCGCCGCAGUAA